rnacentral:rRNA from 1 species
UUCGCAAUGCCCGAAAGGGUGAACGAGCGACGCCGCGUGCGGGACGAAGGGUUUCGGCUUGUAAACCGCUUUUCUUUGGGAAGAAGGUCCGUCUCGUGCAGAUGGGCUCGACGGUACCAGAGGAAUAAGCCUCGGCUAACUCCGUGCCAGCAGCCGCGGUAGUACGGAGGGGGCAAACGUUGUUCGGAAUUACUGGGCGUAAAGGGUGCGUAGGCGGUUCGAUAAGUCUUGCGUGAAAUCUCUACGGCUUACCCGGGAAACUGCGCUGGAAACUGUCGAGCUCGAGGAUGGGAGAGGCAGAUGGAAUUCCUGGUGUAGCGGUGGAAUGCGUAGAUACCAGGAAGAACACUCAUGGCGAAGGCAGUCUGCUGGCCCACACCUGACGCUGAGGCACGAAAGCCAGGGGAGCAAACGGGAUUAGAUACCCCGGUAGUCCUAGCCGUAAACGAUGGGCACUAAGUAGAGGGGUUUU